rnacentral:lncRNA from 1 species
AGGGUGUGGAAGCAAUUGCAUCAACUCUUGGGGCUGCGGAUUGCUGAAGGGAUCACAUACAGAGAAUGGCUUCUCCGCGUUUAAAGCAUUGGGCGGGGAGCAGUAGAGAUGGUAAGCCGUGUAAGGGAAGUUGUUUGUGUCGGUGCGAGGGAUCCUCGUUCCAUUUAUCGCUGUAUGAUAGGGUGGACAAAGCGCUAAAUUGUCCGGCCUGCAUUCAGUUUGUACCACGGUAACCGGAAGUCAGAAGGUGAGGAAGAGAGUAGGAUUUCAAUUAUUACAAUCUAUAAGAACUAUGAAAUUCGCAUAGAGUGUGUGAGAGGGAUUCUGAGAUGAGAGGCACCGACCUACACCAGGAUGGCGUUUGGGGAUUGAUUAUCAUUUCGACGUAACGCGUGACGUCUGUGUCCAUAUUACCAUCGCAGGCUUCGCCAGAAUUUUUCCAGCAUCCACCGAUGUCGAUCAAGUAAAACUGACUCGCUCGCCCGCCGCCUUCUAUCACAUUUAACGUGACCACGACCUUGAAAUUCGGCGAAGAAGGCACCUACAACAGAAAUCUCC